CUGCAAAAAGAAUAAAUAGACAUACUACAGAAUAAGUAGACACAAUAAACGUACAAAACAAAUAUGGUCUUAUUGACAAUUUUUUUCGUUUGAAAUCGCAUGAAAUAUAUAGACAUAGCCAAGUUACAUUGUUAAUAAUAAAUUAUAUGCUUAUUAAGUAUACUCUACAACGUUCGAGUAUUCUAUUGUAAUUUCUCAACUUAAUUUCAAUUUCGUGAAUAUGCAUCUACUGAAUUUUGGUUUACCUCAUAUAUAUGGAGAUAACACAUAGUGUCCACAGAUAUCCCCAUUUUUACAGACAGAUAAAGAACGUAAAACGACAACUCAAAUCACUCACCACUCGGGCGAGUUACUCUAAAAACCUAGAAAAGUUGAACAGUAAAUAACCGAGUUAAGUCGUUAACGCGGUCGUGAAACUCUUUGCGAGACAUGGUGUUCUAAGUAAUUCGAUCUGCAGAAGAAUUUUAGCAACGCGUGUUGGGUGUAGUUUGUAGUGUAAUUACCGGAAGAUGCUAUGGGAGAUCACAGCUGAGUUUGACGGGCCGCCAGAUAAACAUCCCGACUUAUGAGUCCCUGGGUUACGCAAGCGGUAAUUGUGGUGGAGCACCUUAAUUGCCAUCUUCCGAAGUUUGGUAGAAUUAUGCAAUAAAUUGCACAAGAAGUUCUUUGGCUUAGUGCCUUUGGGCGUAGAUACGGCAGCAACGUAAAUCUUUGUAAGAGGUCGCUGAGGGACGGGCGGAAACUUUCAAGAUUAGCGGCUCCGUGCUACGUGACUGCGAUAGUUUAAAUCACUUGUUUUGUAAACACUAAAGUGUAUUUAAGCCAUUUUGGGCCUUGACUGGUGAUUUUUACGUAAUAAAUCGUAGACAGCAAUA